ACAAUUGGUGAACGUUUUGAUGUUAACUCUUAAUAUUGAGAGCAGCGAGCAGACUAGUUCAACAUAGUUUCCAAUUUGCAUUACAUAUGGUCCUCACUUAAUUCCGUUCAAAAUCCAGAGGAAGACAAUAAAAAUAUCAAUGCGUGCUUAGUUAUGAGCCACUUUCAGUACUAAACCCAAGGUACUAACCAAAUUCCGGCUUGAUUACGGAUCUAGUCCAGCCUCGUUCGUUUAAUAAGCGUGUGUGUAUAAAACUCGGCAAGCAGACUAAAAUGGCAGUUCAACGCAAGCUGCGAAGCACUGUGCUCCAAAUCUAAAUGCUCAAACACUUUAAGGGAUGUUUAAUGAGAGAAAAACGAGCAAACCGGGCAAUAUUCACCCUCCUCUUGGAUUAAUCGACUGUUUUUUUUUAAUGCAACGAAAUGGAUUAGAUAAAAGUUUGGAAAAACAGGCGAGGAAAGUUUAGAAUAUAGUUUCUAUUUUUGGCGCCACGUUGCCCUGGCAUUUUACGUCGCUCAGCGAAACGCGUACGCUGGAAGUCGAGUAGAGAUCGUUGCGGGACUUUGGACUGUUUAAGGCUUUCGUUUGAAUCUUCGGUCGUAUAUUUUGCUUUCCUCUCGUCUACACUGGACCUGGAAUAGAUUUCAAAGAGCAAGAAGGCAGAGAUUACGGUACCGUGGUGUUUCACUUUUUCCUUCCCGCUGGCGUCCAUACAUUUGAUCAAACACGCAGCCUGAUAUUUUCUCUCCCCUGCUCCUCGGAGCACCUCACUUGCAAUGUGGAAUAGCCCUGACAUGAGGUCUCUCUGGUGGUGGUGGCAGAGGGACCAGUUGGGAAAGCCACUUUCCAGUGAAGACUGUCUCAGUGGGGAGCGAACAAUGGUGUCUGGCUUUGCGGGACCCAAUCCACAUCCGAAUCCACAUCGAGCCCAUCUGCGUCUCCAGUCCCGUCUAAUUUAGCACGCUGCUGUCGCCCCGCCGUUUGCAGCGCUGAGCAAACACAAUUGAGAAGAGCUUAACACAAGUAAGUGUCUUCCUUCAGUACAGGUUACUUAUAUGAAAAGUAUUCGGACUGAAAGCUUUGAUUAGUUGAAAAUAAUGAGAUACAAAAAGCUGGAGUAACUCAGCUGGUCAGACAGCAUCUGAGAUGCUCCAGUUACUCCAGCUUGUUGUGUCUAUCUAUGGUUUAAACCAGCAUCUGCAGCUCCUUCCUACACGGUUUAAAAUAAGGUUGGAUAACACCAUUCGGUUUUUAAUCAGCGCCGUAGUUCUCGAUAGUGGAUUUAAAUCUAUCUUUACGGGAAGGACUAUUUGCAAGUCUUCUACCUGUAGGUAAAACAUGAGAGUUUUUGCAGCGUGUAUGUACUCCACCAUGUAGUGAGUGCAACCAGAUUCGUUGCGUUUGUGUUUGUUGAUUAUUAUGUUGCUGCAAUUGGUUUCUAUAAAUAGCAGAAAACCACCACGGUGCGGAAACCCGGUUGCUCUGCCAAUGUUGCAUUUUCCUGGAAGAGUUGAACAUUACAAAGGGUACGCGUUGUAUUUACGGACAUUUUAUGUAAGCUUUCAGCAAUGGCCAGAUGACCGAUCGAGUAACUUGGUGAAGCCAGCGGAAUAGGCUCGCAGGGUUUGCCACUGGGAGGAUUGAACAAAUACUGAGCAGUAUUGGGUGAAGGAGCCACAGAGACAACACUUGCAGCUGUUUUGGCUGGAACCUCGCAUCAGUGUCUUAUAUUACAUUUCACGGAAGCGUUGCUGGCGUGUGUCAGAACAACGAAGACUCGACGUUUGCAUGUCUUGUUUAUUGACUGCUUGUCUCGUAAUUUAAAGGGUUGGGUUAAAAGGCUACGGUUGUUAAUUAACACUGACCCGAGUCAGAGCAAUCUCCCGAGGUUCCCUAACUACACAAAGCAAGAGCUAACUCUUCAACAACAAGCCCACUUAGUGAGCAAUUUAACCCUUAUUUUGUGCAGAGAAGAAGUUCAGGUGCCGAUUUGCACCGAAGAUCGACACAAAGCUGGAAUAACUCAGCGGGACAGGCAGCGCCUCUGGAGGGAAGCAAUAGAUGACGUUUCGGGUCGAGACCGUUCUUCAGACCAUAUUUUGGUUUGCACAAGCAUAUGUUUACUUGGUGUUUGCAGAAAUAAGCAGAUAACAUUCCUGUUGUUGUGUUUCCUUUGUUAACACAUCUGUGUGUUUAGAUUGCAGGCAAGCCGCCCAGCGCGGUGCGUAGAUCCAAUGUUUCGGAGAUAUAGUAAUCAUUGAAUGGUGUGACUCAAAAUAUUACUUGUCCGGUUUACAUUAAUGACACAUGAACAUAAAUAUUUACAAUCCUAAUGCCUAUGGUGUAUGUUUGAAAACGUUAGCUCCAUUUUUCCUAAUAUAAAUGCUGGUCAUUUUCGCUUUCAAGUAACGUAUCCGGUUCUGGAAACUGUGAAGAAGGAAUCCAUCCCCAUUGAUUCCAUGUAGGGCUAAAGCAGACCGAUAAUGGUCUGACCAAAUUAGAAUAAAUCGAAAUAUCAUCUGGAA